rnacentral:rRNA from 1 species
AUGUUAGGCCGUGUGGUCGACGCCUUGGGAGUACCUAUUGAUGGAAAAGAGGCUCUAAGCGAUAACAAACAAAGACGUGUCGAAGUGAAAGCCCCAGGGAUUAUUGAACGUAAAUCUGUGCACGAACCCAUGCAAACAGGCUUAAAAGCAGUGGAUAGCCUGGUUCCUAUAGGCCGUGGUCAACGAGAACUUAUAAUCGGGGAUAGACAAACUGGAAAAACUACAAUAGCUAUCGAUACUAUAUUAAACCAAAAGCAAAUGAACUCAAGGGGCACAAAUGAGAGUGAGACAUUGUAG